AUUGAACGCUGGCGGCAUGCUUUACACAUGCAAGUCGAACGGCAACGCGGGCUUCGGCCUGGUGGCGAGUGGCGAACGGGUGAGUAAGGCACCGGAACGUGCCCAGCAGUUGGGGAUAGCCCAGCGUAAGGCGGAUUAAUACCGCAUACGACCAGAUGGUGAAAGGGGGGGACCGAAAGGCCUCGCGGUAUUUGAGCGGCCGUAGCCGGGUUUGCUAGUUGGUGGGGUAAAGGCUUACCAAGGCGACGAUCCGUAGCUGAUCUGAGUGGACGACCGGCCACACUGGAACUGAGACACGGCCCAGACUCCUACGGGAGGCAGCAGUGGGGAAUUUUCGGCAAUGGGGGCAACCCUGACCCAGCCAUGCCGCGUGCGGGAAGAAGGCCUUCGGGUUGUAAACCGCUUUUGUUCGGGAAGAACACAUCUGGGCUAAUACCCCGGGGGGAUGACGGUACCGGAAGAAUAAGCACCGGCUAACUACGUG
rnacentral:rRNA from 1 species